AAGCGUACUGCUGGCAGCCCUCUGCCCCUCGGGGUGCUCACCCUCUGCCCCCAGCUGCUGUGAGUCCCGCUGCUGCCCCUGGAAAGUCUGCAACACGGGAGUCCUGCUCUCCAUGCCCCCUGAGCACUGUGCAUGAGGGUCCCCGCCAGCCUCUCUCUGACCCGCCACCCUCACCCUGUGGCACUCCAGGCGCUCGCUCCACUUCAAGGAGCUCUUCCACCGACGGCCCCAUGAAAAUUGCUGUGGAGACAUCUGGGGCCAGCCUGACAGCUCUCCCUUACAAAUGUCGACAUACACAGAAAGAUGGGUGAAAGGAGAAAAGCACUUCACAAAAGAAGAGGUCCGAACGGCCAGUCAGCACAUGAAGAGGUACCCAGUCUCACAGUAAUCAGAGAUGCAAAUUAAAACCAAAAAUAGGUGUAAAUAAACACGUGCUCCCACACUGCCUAAAAUAAAACAGUCUGGCAACACCCUGCCAAGUGCUGGCAAGGAUAAGGAGCAAGGAAACCUUUAAACACCUUCCAGUCACUCAGGCCAAAAGACUUGUCCACAAGCCCAUCUUCUUAUUUCUGAAAGUGAGCCAUUAAGAAACAGUCUACAGAAUCAUAAACUCAGAGAAUUUUAAAACUGGAAGAGAUCUUUGAGCAUGCAUCAGUUAAUCUGAACUUCUUAUUUGGAGGUGCGAAGACAGAGGUCCAGAGAGAAUAAAAUCACCUAUUCAAGGUUA